GCGGAGGUGGCAGAGCUUGGCCAAAUGCGACAGGUUCAGGGCCUGUUUUCUUUAGUGAAUGCUAGGGUUCAAAUCCCUACCUCCGCA
rnacentral:tRNA from 1 species